UGUUUCCGAGUAAUAUUGUAAAACAUUAAGCAUAUUUUGAAUAACAAAAAUUAAAUAUCACAAGGGGUAUCAGGAUUUUAGAAAUGAUUCAGUGGGGCAUGGCCAAAAAUCGUUUGGCAACCACUGGUCUAAGCAUUUAAGAAUUACCUUUCAAUUUGUUGGUUCUGACCAAUAUAUUUUUUUAUUCUUUGAUUAGUAUUCAAUAAUAUCAAUGUAUAUAACAUUUUCUAUCUCAUCAGUUUCCUUUUUAUCACAAUGGUCACUUAAUUGGGGACCAUAGAUAAUUAAUUAAGGAUGGUUUUAGUUCCAUUCAAAAUGACCCUCAGCUGCUGCCUUUCAUCAACAUUACUUGGCACCAACCAUUGCAAAUUUCAAUAAACCCAGAACUAUAUGAGAAGAGCCAACCAAGGUCUCUAGUUUGAUAUUUAAG